UACUUAACUUUUUUUUUAUCUGUGAAAUUUGAUAGUUUUGUAACAGAUCAUUCCUAGGGUAGUACUAGUAGCAAUUGCAGUUGCACUGUCACAUAGACAAGCUAACGGUGCCUUGUGUAAUCAUUAUCAUUGCUGUUGGUGAUGAUUGUCAUAGCUGAGAGCUGACUUUGUACAAAAAAUUAAUUGUAAACUGAAACUACAA
rnacentral:misc_RNA from 1 species